GGUCAUUAACAGGCCCACACUCUCAGUGUCUGAGACCAGCUUCUUGUUCUGUCCUCAAGCACCGUUUAGAUGUUGGAUUUCCACUUGCUGCUUCUGGAUGUCCCUGGCUUCUACUGGAUAACUAUAAGUAUGUGUGCUAUAAGUAUGAGUCCCCUCAGUCCAUUCCACCAGUGGGUGAUGCCCCCUGAGCAGUUGUCUAUUAGAUAGCAACUCAGCCAUGCCUCCUAUAUUGCAUUAUCUUUGUCGGGUAGCAAGACUCGUCUAAACCAAUGAGUUCAAUCAAUUGCAUGUUAUUUAGCGUAUCGCUCUUUAGACUGGACCGAAACACGCAGUUCUGACCACAGUGUGCUCAUUCCUUCUUAUGCUACCGACUGCCCGGAGGACCAGUGCAGGCUGAGGACCAGUGCAGGCUGAGGACCAGUGCAGGCUGAGGACCAGUGCAGGCUGGUUAGUGCGGGCUUUUAAAAGCGUCUUUCAUUUUGAAUUAUUUUUAUUAUUACCUAUUUUUAAUUUCUCUUAACUUUGGAGAUUAUAAUACAAUUACAUCAUUUCCCUCUUUCUUUCAUCCUUCCAAAUCCUCC
rnacentral:lncRNA from 1 species